rnacentral:lncRNA from 1 species
GCAGAGCAGGAUUUGCUGAAUGUCAGCUGCAAGGAAAGUCCCUGGCUUCUGAGAUUGCAGAACACCACCAGCACCAACGCCCAGGGCAGGGACUUGAACAGUCAACAAAUGAAAUUGAGGACAGGCAGCAUAAACAUCAAGACCCAGCAAGCAGAGGCACAGGCAGCAGCACAGAAAGAACGAGACAGUCACGAAAGAACCACAACGUGGACCUUCCUCUGCAGCCUGAGGACUAGGUCACGGUAGGAGUGCUAAGAGCAGAUGGGGCAGGCAUCAGACACUGACACAGGGGACCAGACACUGUCCUCACGUGUGUAGCCGCAGAUGCCCCAGUAGGGCUGGAAUACAGUGGCCUUGGAGAGCAGCCCCAGAAUCCCAACACAAAGAAACUGGCAAAACUCAUAAUGGAAGAGAUGAGGAAAUUUCCAAGAAUGACCUCGAAGAGACACCAUGUUGCCCAGAAACCAGUCUAAUGUUGCCACACAUCCAGUCCCCAGUUGUGUAUUGGGUUCUAAUGCUGUCUCGGGUGCUGGGGCUGCAGCAAGGAGGGUGACACAGGCAGUUGCUGGGC